rnacentral:rRNA from 1 species
AACGAACGCUGGCGGCAUGCCUAACACAUGCAAGUCGAGCGCCUGUAGCAAUACAGGAGCGGCGCACGGGUGAGUAACGCGUGGGAACCUGCCCUUAGGUUCGGAACAACCGCGGGAAACUGCGGCUGAUACCGGAUGAUGUCUUCGGACCAAAGAUUUAUCGCCUUUGGAGGGGCCCGCGUCGGAUUAGGUAGUUGGUGAGGUAACGGCUCACCAAGCCUGCGAUCCGUAGCUGGUCUGAGAGGAUGACCAGCCACACUGGGACUGAGACACGGCCCAGACUCCUACGGGAGGCAGCAGUGGGGAGUAUUGGACAAUGGGGGCAACCCUGAUCCAGCAAUGCCGCGUGAGUGAUGAAGGCCUUAGGGUUGUAAAGCUCUUUUACCCGGGAUGAUAAUGACAGUACCGGGAGAAUAAGCUCCGGCUAACUCCGUGCCAGCCGCCGCGGUAA